GAAUCCCGUCUUUGGCACGGAUGCCUGGUGCUUCUGUGAUGCGCUCUCGAAGAGUCGAGUUGUUUGGGAAUGCAGCUCAAAAUGGGUGGUGAACUCCAUCUAAAGCUAAAUAUUGGCGAGAGACCGAUAGCGAACAAGUACCGUGAGGGAAAGAUGAAAAGCACUUUGGAAAGAGAGUGAAACAGUACGUGAAAUUGUUGAAAGGGAAACGCUUGAAGUCAGUCGCGUCGACCGAGACUCAGCCUCGCCUUGGCUUGGUGUACUUCUCGGCACGACGGGUCAGCAUCAAUUUUGCCCCUCGGAUAAUGGCAGGGGAAAGGUGGCACCUUUACGGGUGUGUUAUAGUCUUCUGUCGCAUGCGAGGGGUGGGAUUGAGGAACUCAGCGCGCACCUCAGUGUCGGGGCUUCGGCCCACGUCACGCGCUUAGGAUGCUGGCGUAAUGGCUUUAAACGACCCGUCUUGAAACACGGACCAAGGAGUCCAACACGCCCGCGAGUGUUCGGGUGGAAAACCCGUGCGCGCAAUGAAAGUGAAAGUUGGGACCUCUGUCGCGGAGGGCACCGACGCCCGGACCAGAGCUUCUGCGACGGAUCUGCGGUGGAGCGUGUAUGUUAGGACCCGAAAGAUGGUGAACUAUGCCUGAAUAGGGUGAAGCCAGAGGAAACUCUGGUGGAGGCUCGUAGCGAUUCUGACGUGCAAAUCGAUCGUCAAAUUUGGGUAUAGGGGCGAAAGACUAAUCGAACCAUCUAGUAGCUGGUUCCUGCC
rnacentral:rRNA from 1 species